GCCGGGGUAGCGCAGUGGUAGCGCAACUGAUCCGUAAUCAGUAGGUCGAGGGUCCGACUCCCUUUCCCGGCU
rnacentral:tRNA from 1 species